rnacentral:rRNA from 1 species
AGAGUUUGAUCAUGGCUCAGAUUGAACGCUGGCGGCAGGCCUAACACAUGCAAGUCGAGCGGUAGCACAGAGAGCUUGCUCUCGGGUGACGAGCGGCGGACGGGUGAGUAAUGUCUGGGAAACUGCCUGAUGGAGGGGAUAACUACUGGAAACGGUAGCUAAUACCGCAUAACGUCGCAAGACCAAAGUGGGGGACCUUCGGGCCUCAUGCCAUCAGAUGUGCCCAGAUGGGAUUAGCUAGUAGGUGGGGUAAUGGCUCACCUAGGCGACGAUCCCUAGCUGGUCUGAGAGGAUGACCAGCCACACUGGAACUGAGACACGGUCCAGACUCCUACGGGAGGCAGCAGUGGGGAAUAUUGCACAAUGGGCGCAAGCCUGAUGCAGCCAUGCCGCGUGUGUGAAGAAGGCCUUCGGGUUGUAAAGCACUUUCAGCGGGGAGGAAGGCGUUAAGGUUAAUAACCUUGGCGAUUGACGUUACCCGCAGAAGAAGCACCGGCUAACUCCGUGCCAGCAGCCGCGGUAAUACGGAGGGUGCAAGCGUUAAUCGGAAUUACUGGGCGUAAAGCGCACGCAGGCGGUCUGUCAAGUCGGAUGUGAAAUCCCCGGGCUCAACCUGGGAACUGCAUUCGAAACUGGCAGGCUAGAGUCUUGUAGAGGGGGGUAGAAUUCCAGGUGUAGCGGUGAAAUGCGUAGAGAUCUGGAGGAAUACCGGUGGCGAAGGCGGCCCCCUGGACAAAGACUGACGCUCAGGUGCGAAAGCGUGGGGAGCAAACAGGAUUAGAUACCCUGGUAGUCCACGCCGUAAACGAUGUCGAUUUGGAGGUUGUGCCCUUGAGGCGUGGCUUCCGGAGCUAACGCGUUAAAUCGACCGCCUGGGGAGUACGGCCGCAAGGUUAAAACUCAAAUGAAUUGACGGGGGCCCGCACAAGCGGUGGAGCAUGUGGUUUAAUUCGAUGCAACGCGAAGAACCUUACCUGGUCUUGACAUCCACAGAACUUUCCAGAGAUGGAUUGGUGCCUUCGGGAACUGUGAGACAGGUGCUGCAUGGCUGUCGUCAGCUCGUGUUGUGAAAUGUUGGGUUAAGUCCCGCAACGAGCGCAACCCUUAUCCUUUGUUGCCAGCGGUCCGGCCGGGAACUCAAAGGAGACUGCCAGUGAUAAACUGGAGGAAGGUGGGGAUGACGUCAAGUCAUCAUGGCCCUUACGACCAGGGCUACACACGUGCUACAAUGGCAUAUACAAAGAGAAGCGACCUCGCGAGAGCAAGCGGACCUCAUAAAGUAUGUCGUAGUCCGGAUUGGAGUCUGCAACUCGACUCCAUGAAGUCGGAAUCGCUAGUAAUCGUAGAUCAGAAUGCUACGGUGAAUACGUUCCCGGGCCUUGUACACACCGCCCGUCACACCAUGGGAGUGGGUUGCAAAAGAAGUAGGUAGCUUAACCUUCGGGAGGGCGCUUACCACUUUGUGAUUCAUGACUGGGGUGAAGUCGUAACAAGGUAACCGUAGGGGAACCUGCGGUUGGAUCACCU